GUCAAAUUUUGUGUUUCAGUUGAAAAGAAUAUCGGGAAGGAACCCGAGGAAACGAGUCGAGGCUAAGGGACGACUCGCUUGAGAUAAAAGCAAGGAGAAAGCAGCAGAGUGAGCUGCGGAAUUGACAAGAUCUUUUUGAUCCCUUUUUGUACGGGUAUUAUUUUAUACCCUUAUGGUUAUUUUGAUGUAAAUACUGUAAUGUCAUAAGUAUCAAUGUAAAUUGAGCAGUUGUAAAUAAACUAUAAUAAUAUUAUUUUAGAUUUUCUUCUGUAAAUUUAAUAUUUGUACAUAUGGAUUUUCUGCC